rnacentral:rRNA from 1 species
AGGACGAACGCUGGCGGCGUGCUUAACACAUGCAAGUCGAGCGAGGCCCUUCCUUCGGGAAGGUGCCCUAGCGGCGAACGGGUGAGUAACACGUGGGCAACCUGCCCCUAGCACUGGGAUAACUCCGGGAAAACCGGGGCUAAUACCGGAUAUGACCUCCGAGGGCAUCCUUGGUGGUGUAAAGGAUUCUGGCUAGGGAUGGGCCCGCGGCCUAUCAGCUUGUUGGUGGGGUAAUGGCCUACCAAGGCGACGACGGGUA